rnacentral:rRNA from 1 species
GUGAGGAAUAUUGGUCAAUGGGCGCAAGCCUGAACCAGCCAUCCCGCGUGAAGGAAGAAGGCCCUACGGGUUGUAAACUUCUUUUCUGUUUGAAGAAUAAGCUUGUCGAGACAAGUGAUGCCGGUAGGACAGGAAUAAGCAUCGGCUAACUCCGUGCCAGCAGCCGCGGUAAUACGGAGGAUGCAAGCGUUAUCCGGAUUUAUUGGGUUUACAGGGUGCGCAGGUGGUUGAAUAAGUCAGUGGUGAAAGUCUGGCGCUUAACGUUAGGAUUGCCAUUGAUACUGUUUGACUUGAAUAUGGAUGAGGUAGGCGGAAUGUGUAGUGUAGCGGUGAAAUGCUUAGAUAUUACACAGAACACCGAUUGCGAAGGCAGCUUACUAAUCCAUUAUUGACGCUGAGGCACGAAAGCGUGGGGAUCAAACAGGAUUAGAAACCCCGGUAGUCC